CCCUUAGAUGUUCUGGGCCGCACGCGCGCUACACUGACGAAUGCAACGAGCUUAUAACCUUGGCCGAAAGGUCUAGGUAAUCUCCAAAUUUCGUCGUGAUGGGGAUAGAUUAUUGCAAUUAUUAAUCUUCAACGAGGAAUGCCUAGUAAGCGCAAGUCAUCAGCUUGCGUUGAUUACGUCCCUGCCCUUUGUACACACCGCCCGUCGCUCCUACCGAUUGAAUGGUCCGGUGAAGCGCUCGGACCGCGGCCUCUUGACGGUUUUCCGUCGAUUGGCUGUGGGAAGUUCGUUAAACCUUAUCAUUUAGAGGAAGGAGAAGUCGUAACA
rnacentral:rRNA from 1 species